rnacentral:rRNA from 1 species
GACAGAGGGUGCAAACGUUGUUCGGAAUUACUGGGCGUAAAGGGCGCGUAGGCGGACGAGCAAGUCCGGGGUGAAAUCUUUCGGCUUAACCGGAAAAGUGCCUUGGAUACUGCUCGUCUUGAGGGAGGUAGGGGCAUGUGGAACUUCCGGUGGAGCGGUGAAAUGCGUUGAUAUCGGAAGGAACGCCGGUGGCGAAAGCGACGUGCUGGCCCUCUUCUGACGCUGAGGCGCGAAAGCUAGGGGAGCAAACGGG